rnacentral:tRNA from 1 species
GCCCUCGUAGCUCAGCUGGUCGGAGCGACGGUCUCGUAAACCGUAGGUCACGGGUUCAAAUCCCGUCGAGGGCU